rnacentral:ncRNA from 23 species
AUAAUGAAAACAUUGUGCGGUUACUUUUUGUAAUGAAAAGUAUUAAAAGGGAAUUCGGUGCAAGUCCGAAACAGCUCACUUUACUGUAAGGAAUGACGAAAUCCAUAAAGCCACUGUGGAGACAACUGGUCUGCAUGGGAAGGAGGAAAGUAGGGUUUAGUUCUAAGUCAGGAGACCUGCCGAUACAUAUUGUGAAAUC